GACUAAUGUUGAAAAAUUAGCGGAUGACCUGUGGCUGGGGGUGAAAGGCCAAUCAAACCGGGAGAUAGCUGGUUCUCCCCGAAAGCUAUUUAGGUAGCGCCUCGUGAAUUCAUCUCCGGGGGUAGAGCACUGUUUCGGCUAGGGGGCCAUCCCGGCUUACCAACCCGAUGCAAACUGCGAAUACCGGAGAAUGUUAUCACGGGAGACACACGGCGGGUGCUAACGUCCGUCGUGAAGAGGGAAACAACCCAGACCGCCAGCUAAGGUCCCAAAGUCAUGGUUAAGUGGGAAACGAUGUGGGAAGGCCCAGACAGCCAGGAUGUUGGCUUAGAAGCAGCCAUCAUUUAAAGAAAGCGUAAUAGCUCACUGGUCGAGUCGGCCUGCGCGGAAGAUGUAACGGGGCUAAACCAU
rnacentral:rRNA from 1 species